AAAGGAGAAGGUACUUCAUAGUUUGAAUAAAAAAAAAGGAAAGAUUGUCUUAGAAUACAAUUUUUUGACAGAGUAGACUCGGUAGUAGAAGACUCGUCUAAAAGAAAGGAGACAGAGGUUGUAGGAGGAUCAUCUGCUGCAGACGAAGCAGAACCCUCCUUAGAAGAGAAGACAAUUCCUUCGUCAAUCACAAAUGUUCCUGAUGAAGUGUUAGGU
rnacentral:lncRNA from 1 species